AUUUUUGUGGUGUAAUUUAUGCAUAAGAAAUUUUCGGUUUUUAGGAAUAAUUAUUUAAGAUUAUCAAGAAUU
rnacentral:tRNA from 1 species